rnacentral:rRNA from 1 species
AGCGAACGCUGGCGGCAGGCUUAACACAUGCAAGUCGAGCGGGCAUAGCAAUAUGUCAGCGGCAGACGGGUGAGUAACGCGUGGGAACGUACCUUUUGGUUCGGAACAACUGAGUGAAACUUCAUCUAAUACCGGAUAAGCCCUUACGGGGAAAGAUUUAUCGCCGAAAGAUCGGCCCGCGUCUGAUUAGCUAGUUGGUUAGGUAAUGGCUCACCAAGGCGACGAUCAGUAGCUGGUCUGAGAGGAUGAUCAGCCACAUUGGGAAUGAGACACGGACCAAACUGCUACGGGAGGCAGCAGUGGGGAAUAUUGGACAAGGGGGGCAAGUCUGAUACAGCCAUGCCGCGUGAGUGAUGAAGGCCGUAGGGUUGUAAAGCUGUUUUGUGCGGGAAGAUAAUGACGGUACCGCAAGAAUAAGCCCCGGCUAACUUCGUG